AACGAACGCUGGCGGCAUGCCUAACACAUGCAAGUCGAACGAGACCUUCGGGUCUAGUGGCGCACGGGUGCGUAACGCGUGGGAACCUGCCCUUAGGUUCGGAAUAACUCCCCGAAAGGGGUGCUAAUACCGGAUAAUGUCUUCGGACCAAAGAUCUAUCGCCUUUGGAUGGGCCCGCGUUGGAUUAGCUAGUUGGUAGGGUAAAAGCCUACCAAGGCGACGAUCCAUAGCUGGUCUGAGAGGAUGAGCAGCCACACUGGGACUGAGACACGGCCCAGACUCCUACGGGAGGCAGCAGUGGGGAAUAUUGGACAAUGGGCGAAAGCCUGAUCCAGCAAUGCCGCGUGAGUGAUGAAGGCCUUAGGGUUGUAAAGCUCUUUUACCCGGGAUGAUAAUGACAUUACCGGGAGAAUAAGCUCCGGCUAACUCCGUG
rnacentral:rRNA from 1 species